AUACGUAGGGGGCGAGCGUUGUCCGGAAUGAUUGGGCGUAAAGGGCGCGUAGGCGGCCCGGUAAGUCUGGAGUGAAAGUCCUGUUUUUAAGAUGGGAAUUGCUUUGGAUACUGUCGGGCUUGAGUGCAGGAGAGGUAAGUGGAAUUCCCAGUGUAGCGGUGAAAUGCGUAGAGAUUGGGAGGAACACCAGUGGCGAAGGCGACUUACUGGACUGUAACUGACGCUGAGGCGCGAAAGUGUGGGGAGCAAACAGGAUUAGAUACCCUGGUAGUCCACGCUGUAAACGAUGAAUGCUAGGUGUAGGAGGUAUCGACCCCUUCUGUGCCGCAGUUAACGCAAUAAGCAUUCCGCCUGGGGAGUACGGUCGCAAGAUUAAAACUCAAAGGAAUUGGCGGGG
rnacentral:rRNA from 1 species